AAUUAUAUUUCUUGCUUUUUUUAAUUAGCAAAAUAUUACCAAGUACACCUUUAGGAAACAUUAGCAUUAUACCUUUGCAGAGUGA